rnacentral:lncRNA from 1 species
GUGGUAGUAGUAGAAAUGAUGAAUGUAGUGAUAGCAGUUUAGUGAUCUAGUGGUGGUAAUAGUAAUAAUGAUGAUGGUAGUGAUAGCAGUUUAGUGAUGGUGGUGGUGGUAGUAGUAGUAGUAAUGAUGAUGGUAUUGAUAGCAGUUCAGUGAUGGUGGUAGUAGUAGUAAUGAUGAUGGUAGUGAUAGCAGGUUAGUGAUGGUAGAUGUGGAAGUUGUAGUAAUGGCGAUGGUAGUGAUAGCAGUUUAGUGACGGUGGUGGUGGUAGUAGUAGUAAUGAUGAUGGUAGUGAUAGCAGUUUAGUGAUGGUGAUGGUAGUAGUAGUAAUGAUGUUGGUAGUGACAGCAGUUUAGUGAUGGUGGUGGUAGAAGUAAUAAUGAUGAUGGUAUUGAAAGCAGUUUAGUGAUGGUGGUGGUAGUAGUAGUAAUGAUGAUGGUAGUGAUAGCAGUUUAGUUAUGGUGGUGGUAGUAGUAGUGAUGAUGAUGGUAGUGAAAGCAGUUUAGUGAUGGUUGUGGUAGUAGUAGUAAUGAUGAUGGUAGUGAUAGCCAUUUAGUAAUGGUGGUGGUAGUAGUAGUAAUGAUGAUGGUAGUGAUAGCCAUUUAGUAAUGGUGGUGGUAUUAGUAGUAAUGAUGAUGGUAGUGAUAGCAGUUUAGUGAUGGUGGUGGUAGUAGUAUUAAUGAUGAUGGAAUUGAUAGCAGUUUAGUGAUGGUGGUGGUGGUAGUAGUAAAAAUGAUGAUGGCAGUGAUAGCAGUUUAGUGAUGGUGGUGGUAGUAGUAGUAACGAUGAUGGUAGUGAUAGCAGUUUAUUGAUGGUGGUUGUAUUAGUAGAAAUGAUGAAUGUAGUUAUAGCAGUUUAGUGAUGGUG